rnacentral:rRNA from 1 species
GAGGAAUAUUGGUCAAUGGGCGCGAGCCUGAACCAGCCAAGUAGCGUGAAGGAUGAAGGUCCUAUGGAUUGUAAACUUCUUUUAUAGCAGAAUAAAGUGACCCACGUGUGGGUUUUUGUAUGUAUGCUAUGAAUAAGGAUCGGCUAACUCCGUGCCAGCAGCCGCGGUAAUACGGAGGAUCCGAGCGUUAUCCGGAUUUAUUGGGUUUAAAGGGUGCGUAGGUGGUUUGAUAAGUCAGCGGUGAAAGUUUGCAGCUUAACUGUAAAAAUGCCGUUGAAACUGUCGGACUUGAGUGUAAAUGAGGUAGGCGGAAUGCGUGGUGUAGCGGUGAAAUGCAUAGAUAUCACGCAGAACUCCGAUUGCGAAGGCAGCUUACUAAGCUACAACUGACACUGAAGCACGAAAGCGUGGGGAUCAAAC